rnacentral:rRNA from 1 species
GUGUCAGCAGCCGCGGUAAUACGGGGGGAGCAAGCGUUGUUCGGAUUUACUGGGCGUAAAGGGCGCGUAGGCGGCCACUGCAAGUCAAUUGUGAAAUCUCCGGGCUUAACUCGGAAAGGUCAACUGAUACUGCAGGGCUAGAGUGCGGAAGGGGCAACUGGAAUUCUCGGUGUAGCGGUGAAAUGCGUAGAUAUCGAGAGGAACACCUGCGGCGAAGGCGGGUUGCUGGGCCGACACUGACGCUGAGUGUGCGAAAGCUAGGGGAGCGAACGGGAUUAGAAACCCGCGUAGUCC